rnacentral:rRNA from 1 species
AGUGAACGCUGGCGGUAGGCCUAACACAUGCAAGUCGAACGGCAGCACAGUAAGAGCUUGCUCUUACGGGUGGCGAGUGGCGGACGGGUGAGGAAUACAUCGGAAUCUACUUUUUCGUGGGGGAUAACGUAGGGAAACUUACGCUAAUACCGCAUACGACCUACGGGUGAAAGCAGGGGAUCUUCGGACCUUGCGCGAUUGAAUGAGCCGAUGUCGGAUUAGCUAGUUGGCGGGGUAAAGGCCCACCAAGGCGACGAUCCGUAGCUGGUCUGAGAGGAUGAUCAGCCACACUGGAACUGAGACACGGUCCAGACUCCUACGGGAGGCAGCAGUGGGGAAUAUUGGACAAUGGGCACAAGCCUGAUCCAGCCAUACCGCGUGGGUGAAGAAGGCCUUCGGGUUGUAAAGCCCUUUUGUUGGGAAAGAAAAGCAGCAGGUUAAUACCCCGCUGUUCUGACGGUACCCAAAGAAUAGGCACCGGCUAACUUCGUG